UACGUAGGUGGCGAGCGUUAUCCGGAUUUAUUGGGCGUAAAGCGUCCGCAGCCGGUUUAUUAAGUAUAGAAUUAAAUUUCUGGGCUUAACCCAGUCUCGUUCUAUAAACUGAUAGGCUAGAGUGUGGUAGAGGCAAGUGGAAUUUCUAGUGUAGCGGUUAAAUGCGUAGAUAUUAGAAGGAACACCAGUGGCGAAGGCGGCUUGCUGGGCCACCACUGACGGUCAGGGACGAAAGCGUGGGGAGCAAAUAGG
rnacentral:rRNA from 1 species